GUGAGGAAUUUUGCGCAAUGGGAGCAAUCCUGACGCAGCAACGCCGCGUGGGUGAUGAAGGCCUUCGGGUCGUAAAGCCCUGUCAGGUGGGAAGAAUGUCCAGGGGAUGAAUAAGCUUCUGGAGUGACGGUACCACCAGAGGAAGCACCGGCUAACUCCGUGCCAGCAGCCGCGGUAAUACGGAGGGUGCGAGCGUUAUUCGGAAUUACUGGGCGUAAAGCGCGUGUAGGCGGGGCGGCAAGUCUGAUGUGAAAGCCCUGGGCUUAACCUGGGAAGUGCAUUGGAAACUGCCAUUCUUGAGUGCUGGAGAGGAAGGGGGAAUUCCCGGUGUAGAGGUGAAAUUCGUAGAGAUCGGGAGGAAUACCAGUGGCGAAGGCGCCCUUCUGGACGGCAACUGACGCUGAGACGCGAAAGCGUGGGGAGCAAACAGGAUUAGAAACCCUAGUAGUCC
rnacentral:rRNA from 1 species